GCGGCAUGAUGGGCGGGCUGUUCAACCCGUUCGACGACUACGAUGCUGCGGCCGCCGCCGCCGAAGGCGACAAGGUGCACGGCGGGGCCGGCGCCACCGGCCAUGGCGGCUUCUUCUCCCCCUUGGGCGCCGGCGACAAGUACGACGACCGGCACUAGCCCCACCACGACGCACGCCGCGUCGCCGCGUGUACGUAUCUCCCCCUCUCUCUCUCCCACUAUACCUCUGCGUCUGCGUGUGUGUAGAGAGAGAGAGAGAGAGAAGCAUAGCUAAGCUAGCUCUAGCAAAAUGAAGCUGAUGACGAAGCUUCUACUACUUGGCCACUGCAACUGUUUGGCAUUUGUUGUGAGAUUCACUUAAUUUUUCUUGUUUGGUUUUGAGAUGAUGAUGAUCCGACGCAUGUACAUAAAUUUAUUUAAUUUGGAUCUUCUUUGUUUUGC
rnacentral:lncRNA from 1 species